rnacentral:rRNA from 1 species
AAAAUGACUCUUGGCAACGGAUAUCUCGGCUCUCGCAUCGAUGAAGAACGUAGCGAAAUGCGAUACUUGGUGUGAAUUGCAGAAUCCCGUGAACCAUCGAGUCUUUGAACGCAAGUUGCGCCCCAAGCCUUCUGGCCGAGGGCACGUCUGCCUGGGUGUCACAA